rnacentral:rRNA from 1 species
GAUCAUGGCUCAGGACGAACGCUGGCGGCGUGCUUAACACAUGCAAGUCGAACGAGACGAUUGAAAGCUUGCUUUUGAGAGUCGAGUGGCAAACGGGUGAGUAACGCGUAGACAACCUGCCGUAAAGAUGGGGACAACAGUUCGAAAGGACUGCUAAUACCGAAUGUUGUAGAGUUUCCGCAUGGGGAUCCUACUAAAGGUGGCCUCUACUUGUAAGCUAUCGCUUUACGAUGGGUCUGCGU